rnacentral:rRNA from 1 species
AGCAGCCGCGGUAAUUCCAGCUCCAAUAGCGUAUAUUAAAGUUGUUGCAGUUAAAAAGCUCGUAGUUGAAUUUCAGGCCUGGCUGGACGGUCCGCCUUUUGGGUGAGUACUGUCUGUGGUCGGGUCCUACCUUCUGGCGAAGCGUCAUGGCCUUAACCGGCCGUGGCGGGGAACCAGGACUUUUACUGUGAAAAAUUAGAGUGUUCAAAGCAGGCAAUCGCUUGAAUACAUUAGCAUGGAAUAAUGGAAUAGGACAAUGGUUCUAUUUGUUGGUUUCUAGGACCGUUGUAAUGAUUAAUAGGGAUAGUUGGGGGCAUUAGUAUUCAAUUGUCAGAGGUGAAAUUCUUGGAUUUAUUGAAGACUAACUACUGCGAAAGCAUUUGCCAAGGAUGUUUUCAUUAAUCAAGAACGAAAGUUAGGGGAUCGAAGACGAUCAGAUACCGUCGUAGU